rnacentral:lncRNA from 1 species
GGGCCAGCUGGAGGACGUCUCCAGGUGCAGGAGUUUCUCACUGCAUUGAAGACCCAUUGGUGGCCUUCGGCUGUAUAAUCUGCUCUUUGGUCGGGUUGUUGUCUCUUUGACACACUCCCCAUUGCAUUUCCCUUCUCAAUUUUAAAACAUGUGAAUACAUGUAGUAGUUUUUUUACAUUAAGGAACUAAAAGUUUGGUUUUUUUUAAAUUAUU